UGACACGUAGGCACCAAGCGUUGUCCGGAUUUAUUGGGCGUAAAGAGCUCGUAGGCGGUUCGGUUAGUCGGGUGUGAAAACUUUGGGCUCAACCCAAAGCGUGCACUCGAUACUGCCGUGACUAGAGUUCGGUAGGGGAGUGGGGAAUUCCUAGUGUAGCGGUGAAAUGCGCAGAUAUUAGGAGGAACACCGGUGGCGAAGGCGCCACUCUGGGCCGAAACUGACGCUGAGGAGCGAAAGCGUGGGUAGCAAACAGGAUUAGAUACCCUGGUAGUCCACGCCGUAAACGUUGGGCACUAGGUGUGGGUCUCAACCAACGAGAUCCGCGCCGUCGCUAACGCAUUAAGUGCCCCGCCUGGGGAGUACGGCCGCAAGGUUA
rnacentral:rRNA from 1 species